rfam:Medicago truncatula strain A17 chromosome 5, whole genome shotgun sequence.
AAACAACCUCCUCUUUAUUGGAUCUUUGACAGUUUUGGCUCCCAAGACCACUUUUCACUUAGUCUUCGCUGACGUGGCACUCACAAUGGUCGACACAUGGCACCUCACUUAAGGGAUGUGGGUGCCACGUCAGCGAAAACUAAGUCAAAAGUGACAUUGAGGGCCAAAACUGACAAAGAUCCAAUACAUAUGGGGCUGUUU